rnacentral:rRNA from 1 species
AUGGCUAAGGCGACAAGGCGGGUUGGCGAAGCAGCGGCUCGAGGUGCAGCGGUUGACCCGACGGCAGGGCGGCUUCGAAACAGGGCGAGGCGGAGGCGAGGCCGCCUCAUCCGGGGUGGCUUGACAGAGAUGCGAGGCCGCUCGGCCUGGGCGGCUCAGCGCGACCCCGAACGGAGACCGAGGCAGAGACCAGCGGAUAUGUAG